rnacentral:rRNA from 1 species
AGCGAACGCUGGCGGCAGGCCUAACACAUGCAAGUCGAACGAAGUCUUCGGACCUAGUGGCGGACGGGUGAGUAACACGUGGGAACGUACCUUUUGGUUCGGAACAACUCAGGGAAACUUGAGCUAAUACCGGAUGAGCCCUUAGGGGGAAAGAUUUAUCGCCGAAAGAGCGGCCCGCGUUAGAUUAGCUAGUUGGUGAGGUAAAGGCUCACCAAGGCUACGAUCUAUAGCUGGUCUGAGAGGAUGAUCAGCCACACUGGGACUGAGAGACGGCUCAGACUCCUACGGGAGGCAGCAGUGGGGAAUCUUGCGCAAUGGGCGAAAGCCUGACGCAGCCAUGCCGCGUGAAUGAUGAAGGUCUUAGGAUUGUAAAAUUCUUUUACCAGGGACGAUAAUGACGGUACCUGGAGAAAAAGCCCCGGCUAACUUCGUGCCAGCCGCCGCCGUAAGAC